rnacentral:rRNA from 1 species
UUUUUGUUUAUAAUAUAAAGUCUAACCUGCCCACUGAUAUUUAAUUAAAGGGCCGCAGUAUUUUGACUGUGCAAAGGUAGCAUAAUCAUUUGUCUUUUAAUUGAAGGCUGGAAUGAAUGGUUGAAUGAAAUAUUAACUGUCUCAUAUUUAAAAUAAUAAAAAUUUAGCUUUUAAGUCAAAAGGCUUAAAUAAAUUUAAAGGACGAGAAGACCCUAUAGAUCUUUAUAUUAUAUUAUAUUUUACUAAAUAUAAAAAUAAUAAGUAUAAUUUAAUAUUAUAUUUUAUUGGGGUGAUAGGAAAAUUAAUUAAACUUUUUUUAUAUUUAACCAUUGAUUUAUGAAUAAUUGAUCCAUUUUUAUUGAUUAUAAGAUUAAGUUACCUUAGGGAUAACAGCGUAAUUUUUUUGGAGAGUUCUUAUCGAUAAAAAAGAUUGCGACCUCGAUGUUGAAUUAAAGGUUAUUUCUAGAUGUAGAAGUUUAGAGUUUAGGUCUGUUCGACCUUUAAAUCUUU